rnacentral:lncRNA from 1 species
UUUUUAUUAUUAUAGCUUAGCCUAGAGAAUUAAGUAAAUGUGUAUUACUUCACUCCUGCACACCCUUUAAAACGCAGCUAACAGACACUGAAUAAACCAGCCCAUCCCCGGCGGGAUCAGGAGUUGCUUGCCCCAUAUGCUGUCCCCAGGCUGCAGCCGCCUGAGGGGACUCGCCCGGGGCCCGCCCUCAGAGCUCACACCCGCCGUGCGCUCUCGCCCCGGGGCCGCCCCGCCGAUCCUCCCCCGCGGCUCUGCGCGCACAGGCCGGACGCUCGGAGCCGGCGCCGGACCCCCCUGCUCGGCCUCCUGGGCGCACCAGCGGCCUCCGCGCAGGCUCCGUGCCCGCGCACGCGCCCUCGCGUCGCGCUCCUGGAGGAGAGACCUGCGCUCGGGCCGGGCUCCGGGCGGUUCUCGAGCUGCAGUUCCAACGGGACUUCCGCGGCCUUUUGGACGAGCCGCCGCGCCCAGAGAUGUUCAGGUUGGAGCGACACUUCCCAGAGGGCAGCGGUCACUCCAGAUCUUCGGCUUCCAUUUCCGUUUUCGCGCGGUUCUCCCUCUUUGCAGGGUGCAAAACCAUGGAGUGAAAUCAUACAGUAUUUCUUUCUCCGUCUGACUGUUUUUGCUCAAGAUCCAUCCAUCUUGUCUCACAUGGGAUGAGUUUGUCUGUUUUUAUGGGU